ensembl:snRNA U2 U2 spliceosomal RNA
AUCGCUUCUCGGCCUUUUGGCUAAGAUCAAGUGUAGGAGUAGAAAUAGCAAAUAAAUACAUGAAAAAAUGUUCAAUAUCACUGGUCAUUCGAGAGAUGCAAAUGAAAACAACGCUGAGUUUCCACUUCACUCCAGAAAGAAUGGCUGCUAUCAU